rnacentral:rRNA from 1 species
UGCAUAGGAAUCUACCUAGUAGUAUAGGAUAGCCACUAGAAAUGGUGGGUAAUACUGUAUAAUCCCUGCGGGGGAAAGAUUUAUCGCUACUAGAUGAGCCUAUGUCAGAUUAGCUAGUUGGUGGGGUAAUGGCCCACCAAGGCUGUGAUCUGUAGCUGGUCUGAGAGGAUGAUCAGCCACACUGGAACUGAGACACGGUCCAGACUCCUACGGGAGGCAGCAGUGGGGAAUAUUGGACAAUGGGCGCAAGCCUGAUCCAGCUAUGCCGCGUGAGUGAGGAAGGCCUUAGGGUUGUAAAACUCUUUCAGUAGGGAAGAUAAUGACGGUACCUACAGAAGAAGUCCCGGCAAACUCCGUGCCAGCAGCCGCGGUAAUACGGAGGGGGCAAGCGUUGUUCGGAAUUAUUGGGCGUAAAGGGC